rnacentral:rRNA from 1 species
GACGAACGCUGGCGGCGUGCUUAACACAUGCAAGUCGAACGCUGAAGCUCAGCUUUUGUUGGGUGGAUGAGUGGCGAACGGGUGAGUAACACGUGAGUAACCUGCCCCCUUCUUUGGGAUAACGCCCGGAAACGGGUGCUAAUACUGGAUAUUCACUGGUCUUCGCAUGGGGGUUGGUGGAAAGGGUUUUUCUGGUGGGGGAUGGGCUCGCGGCCUAUCAGCUUGUUGGUGGGGUGGUGGCCUACCAAGGCUUUGACGGGUAGCCGGCCUGAGAGGGUGACCGGUCACAUUGGGACUGAGAUACGGCCCAGACUCCUACGGGAGGCAGCAGUGGGGAAUAUUGCACAAUGGGCGCAAGCCUGAUGCAGCGACGCCGCGUGAGGGAUGGAGGCCUUCGGGUUGUGAACCUCUUUCGCUCAUGGUCAAGCCGCAACAAUGGUUGUGGUGAGGGUAGUGGGUAAAGAAGCGCCGGCUAACUACGUG